rnacentral:rRNA from 1 species
GUAACAGAGGGUUCGAUUGCAUCAGAUUGCCGCUGGCGGGAUGUUUACACAUGCAAGUCGAACGGCAGCACGGGUGACUUCCCGUCUGGUGGCGUAGUGGCGAACGGUGAGUAAUGUAUCGGAACGCCUAGUAGCGGGGGAUAAUCAGCGCGAAAGGCAGCCAAUACCGGCUGGUUUACUCCUUCGGGGGAAAGCGGGGACCUUCAGGCCCGCACUACGCUGAGCAGCCGAUAUCGGAUUACGAAGUUGGUGUAACGGCUCACCAAGGCGACGAUCCGUAGCUGGUUUGAGAGGACGACCAGCCACACUGGGACUGAGACACGGCCCGUGACUCACGGGAGGCAGCAGUGGGAAUUCUGGACAAUGGGGAACCCUGAUCCAGCAUCUCCGCAGCGAUGAAGGCCUGGGUUGUAAAGCACUUUUGGCAGGAAAGAAACGGCACGGGAUAAUACCCUGUGCAACUGACGGUACCUGCAGAAUAAGCACCGGCUAACCACGUGCCAGCAGCCGCGGUACACGUAGGUAAAGCGCACCGAACUGGCUGGGCGUAAAGGCGCAGGCGGUUCGGAAAGAAAGAUGCGGAAUCCCAGAGCUUAACUUUGGAACUGCAUUUUAUCCACGAGCUACAGAGGUGUCAGAGGAGGAAUUCCGCGUGUAGCAGUGAAUGAAGAUAAGUGCGGAGGAACACCGAUGGCGAACAGCCUUCUGAUAACACUGACGCUCAUGCACGAAAUGGAGCAAACAGGAUUAGAUACCCUGGUAGUUCACGCCCUAAAACGACAACCAUUGUUAGCCCAAGUCGGUAGCGCAGCUAACGCAAGUUGACCGCCUGGGGAGUUAUGGUCAAAGAUUAAAAACCCAAAGGAAUCGACGGGGACCCGCACAAGCGGUGGAUGAUGUGCAGAUUAAUCAGAUGCGAACGCGAAAACCUUACCAAUUUCUUGACAUGUCUGGAAUCCCGAAGAGAUUUGGGAGCAGUGUCGGCAGGAGAGAACCGGAACACAGGUGCUGCAUGGCUUGUCGUCAGCUCGUGUGUCGGGAGAUGCUGGGUUAAGUCCCGGCAACGAGCGCAACCCUAAGUCAUUGGUUGCUACGAAAGGGCACCCGACGAGACUGCUGGUGACAAACCGGAGAAGGUGUGGAUGAUGGUCAAGUCCAUGGCCCUGUGGCGGGUGGGCUUCAAGCACGUCAUACAAUGAGUCAGAGCAGAGGAUCGCCAACCCGCGAGGGGGAGCCAAUCCCAGAAACCCGAUCAGUCCGAUCGCAGUCUGCAAUCGACUGCGCAGUCGGAAUCGCUGGUAAUCGCGGAUCAGCAUGUCGCGGUGAAAUAUGUUCCCGGGUCUUGGCCAUACCCGCCCGUCACACCAUGGGAGUGGGUUUUACCAGAAGUAGUUAGCCUCCAACCGGGCGAGGGCGAUUACCACGGUAGGAUUUAUGACUGGGGUGGAAGUCGCAACAAGGUAG